ACGCUCGACACCUACGGAGGCAGCAGUAGGGAAUCUUCCACAAUGGGCGCAAGCCUGAUGGAGCAACACCGCGUGAGUGAAGAAGGGUUUCGGCUCGUAAAGCUCUGUUGUUGGAGAAGAACGUGCGUGAGAGUAACUGUUCACGCAGUGACGGUAUCCAACCAGAAAGUCACGGCUAACUACGUGCCAUCAGCCGCGGUAAUCUGAGCGGGCUGGCAAGGC
rnacentral:rRNA from 1 species